rnacentral:rRNA from 1 species
GCGCAGGAAAAGAAACCAACAGGGAUUGCCCUAGUAACGGCGAGUGAAGCGGCAACAGCUCAAAUUUGAAAUCUGGUCCUUCGGGGCCCGAGUUGUAAUUUGCAGAGGAUGCUUUUGGCGCGGUGCCUUCCGAGUGCCCUGGAACGGGGCGCCACAGAGGGUGAGAGCCCCGUAUGGUUGGACACCAAGCCUAUGUAAAGCUCCUUCGACGAGUCGAGUAGUUUGGGAAUGCUGCUCAAAAUGGGAGGUAAACCCCUUCUAAAGCUAAAUACUGGCCAGAGACCGAUAGCGCACAAGUAGAGUGAUCGAAAGAUGAAAAGCACUUUGAAAAGAGAGUUAAAAAGCACGUGAAAUUGUUGAAAGGGAAGCGUUUGCGACCAGACUUGCGCCCGUCGAAUCAACCGUCCCUCGUGGGCGGUGCACUUCGGCGGGCUCAGGCCAGCAUCAGUUUACUGUAGGGGGAGAAAGGCGCUGGGAAUGUGGCUCCUCGGAGUGUUAUAGCCCGGCGUGUAAUACCCCUCGGUGGACUGAGGACCGCGCGAAAACAAGGAUGCUGGCGUAAUGGUCGUCGGCAACCCGUCUUGAAGCACGGAGAAAGGAGUCGUCGUAAUAUGCGAGUGUGUGUCGUGUGUGACACACAUCGCGUAUUGGAGGUGUGUCGCCCCGUAAGUGCGUUCUUCGGAGGACCAUCCGAGCGGGAUUGAUUCUCCAGCGAUGUAAUCUGCAAGCGGCCCACCCGGGAUGCAGAGCAAGUUUGGGAUA